rnacentral:rRNA from 1 species
UGGGGAAUAUUGCACAAUGGGGGAAACCCUGAUGCAGCGACGCCGCGUGAGUGAAGAAGUAUUUCGGUAUGUAAAGCUCUAUCAGCAGGGAAGAAAAUGACGGUACCUGACUAAGAAGCCCCGGCUAACUACGUGCCAGCAGCCGCGGUAAUACGUAGGGGGCAAGCGUUAUCCGGAUUUACUGGGUGUAAAGGGAGCGUAGACGGAUGUGCAAGUCUGAAGUGAAAGCCCGGGGCUCAACCCCGGGACUGCUUUGGAAACUGUGUAUCUAGAGUGCCGGAGAGGUAAGCGGAAUUCCCAGUGUAGCGGUGAAAUGCGUAGAUAUUGGGAGGAACACCAGUGGCGAAGGCGGCUUACUGGACGGUAAUUGACGUUGAGGCUCGAAAGCGUGGGGAGCAAACAGGAUUAGAUACCC